GACUGAGCAAGUCAGUGAUUUACUGACCAAAACUACUACAGCCUUCCCCUGCCAUCUGACUCACUGGAGAUACAUCUUCUAGUCUGAAUACCUUACCCUAGAAGAAAGUCCUACUGCUUUUGACAAUCAUGUCUUUGUUCUAUUCUUCUGAAACAGUUGGAGAGUUGAUAUGCUAUUUAACUAGUAUAUCCAUAUCAAGUUAUCAAAUAUCAAAUAUUCCUUUCAUUCAACAAUGUGAUAAGUUUUAGAGAGCCCAUUAUGUGCCAGGCAUCAUUGUAGUGGCUGGCGAUGGCGCUCAUUCAUGCAGAUACCGCCAAGGAUAUGCUGCUUCUGAGGAGCUUUCGGACAUCUGGGAGAUUACUUCAAGCUAUUUUGCUUCUGGGACCAAGGUAUGUGACAGCUGCCAGUCUGCAGAUACAGGUGUGAGCUGCUGAAAAUGCACAUCUGAAAUUCUUAAAAUCUGAGAGCAAAGAUUAGCCUGAAGGAAUCUUACAGGAACAGUGCACAUUGAGCAUAGGGACAGAGCUGCUUGAAAAUUGCAAUGAUGGGGACUUACUCUGAGUGCUCUGAAAUUAAUAAUCAGUAUACGUAUUCCUUGAAUCCUGAACAAAUAGCAGAGCCUCUGUCUUAGGGGGAAAGUUUGGCCAACUAAUUAGCCCUACAUUUGGAAGUUUGAAAAGCUUCUGAUCAGCUUCUUGAUUUUUAAAUUUGUUUUGGAUUACUAUUUUUUUCUUUAUGCUUUGCUAAGAAAUUAUCAGAGAUGCCUUUAAAUUAUCAUACUUCUUUCUCAUUUAAAAUACAUUCACAAAGUUGGAUUUCUGAAAUGUGCCAAUUUAUAAAAUUCACAUAGGAGAGAAAACACCAGGUAUCUUCCAUGUUUUGACUACCUCAGAAAAAACUGAGAAUUUACCUGACAACUAAAAGAAGCUAGAAAACAAUUUAUGCUUAUGCCUCUUUGAAAACCACUCCUUCAACAUACCCAUUAUUUUAUUCCUAUUGCGCUGAACCAAAAUGAUUCCUGGAACCAAAGAUAAUAAAGGCAUGUCCUACAUAGUGUUAAUUAAUUAAAAACAAUUUCUUACUGAAAUGUAUUUUAUUUAUGUAUGUGGUUGUGUGUGUAAUUUUUAGCAUUGUCUUGUAAUAUAAUUCACUACAAGUUAAUGCUGAUUUAUUUUUCCAAGCUUUGAAUGCAAUAGCAUUCACAGUUAAUGUGACUUAGUGUUGCAGUUCAGGGCCAGGACAAGUGAGGGAGAUACAAAGGAAACAAAAUUUAGGAGACAUUCAUUCUCAAGGCUGACACUGCCCUUGCACUACCCUCUGAGUGAAUGCCUUCUUAAAUUUGCAACCUAGGAGUUCCUCUGGCCUCACUUGGUUCCAGCCUUAGUUGAAAAUUGUGCCUUGGACUCUAUGAAUAAGUGUUGUGCCAUACUAUCUUGAACUAAGUAUUGCAGUGCUCCCUACCCUGAUACAAUUUUUCUUAUCAUCUUUGUGUUUUAGUAAACACUUUUGACCUAUUAGUGUCAGAUUAAAUGUGUUGCAAGGAUAGGAAUGUCAAAGACACCAAAUAGAAAAUGUUAUUAGUACAAGCUAAAAUAGCUUAUUGGAAGUUAAAACACCAACAAUAUAAUGAUCCAAAGGAAUGGAGGAAACAAUGGUAAAAUAUCAGAAAGUAGUCUGGAUUGGGGGAAAUGUUUGGAAAUUUUUAAGGGUACUAUAAACUUUUCUGCCAGACCAAAAAUUAUUUGCACUAUAGCUGGAAGAAACUGGGGGUGGUAGCACUUUCUAACUUCAGGAUUUGAAGCAAAUAGAAGAAAAAGUGCCAGUUUAUGAACCUGGCAGUGAGCCCCUCAGAAGGCUAUGAAAGCUCAAUAUAGCUGUGAUUCAAAUAUUUCUAGAGCUUAUCUUUUUGUGAGCAUCUAUCUCAUUCUAGAAAUUUUGCUCAGUACACAUCACAUAUUAUCUCUAACUCUCACAGUGAUGUGUUUUACUGAUGAAGUUAAAGAGUAUCAAAUGAUUACACAGAUUGCUUUUACCCAUGAAACUAACAAUUGUCAGAACCUGUUUAAUCCAAGUUCAUCUAAUUUCAAAGCCUUCAGUAUUUAGAUCACUGCUUGAGUUACUUGAUUGUAAGAUGUAAAAGCAAAGUAAUUACUGUAAUUAAAGAAGCCAGAAUGAUGUUAUAAUCCAUCAGAAUCUAUGUGAGUAACCCUAGGACUUGGA